rnacentral:misc_RNA from 1 species
GAUGAAGAACGUAGCGAAAUGCGAUAAGUAAUGUGAAUUGCAGAGUUUAGUGAAUCAUCGAAUCUUUGAACGCACAUUGCGCCCCUCGGUAUUCCGACGGGCAUGCCUGUUCGAGCGUCGUUCGCACACCCUCAAGCAGAAUUCAUGUCGGCUUGUCUUGGGCCUCCGUCCCCCACCGCCGCCCGCGAGGGCGGGGAGGGACGGGCCCCGAAGCGAGCGGCGGCCUCGGAUGCACCGCCGGAGCGUCCUCGUGAUAACUCGCUCCGGCGCCGUGCGUUCGCGGCCCGCCUGGACGACGAAACCCCCCCGCCCGCAAACGGCGGGAACACCAACAAAGUUCCGACCUCGGAUCAGGCAGGGAUACCCGCUGAACUUAAGCAUAUCAAUAAGCGGAGGA